rnacentral:rRNA from 2 species
GAAGGGGGGACGGAGAAGGCUAUGUUGGCCGGGCGACGGUUGUCCCGGUUUAAGCGUGUAGGUGUGUGUUCCAGGUAAAUCCGGUUCACUUUAACACUGAGGCGUGAUGACGAGGCACUACGGUGCUGAAGCAACAAAUGCCCUGCUUCCAGGAAAAGCCUCUAAGCAUCAGGUAACAUCAAAUCGUACCCCAAACCGACACAGGUGGUCAGGUAGAGAAUACCAAGGCGCUUGAGAGAACUCGGGUGAAGGAACUAGGCAAAAUGGUGCCGUAACUUCGGGAGAAGGCACGCUGACAC